CACCGCGGUUAUACGAGGGGCCCAAGUUGAUAGUCACCGGCGUAAAGAGUGGUUAAUAAAUAUUAAAACUAAAGCCGAACAUCUUCAAAGCCGUUAUACGUUAUUGAAGCCAGGAAGACCCCCCACGAAAGUGGCUUUAAAUAUAUGACCCCACGAAAGCUAGGGCC
rnacentral:rRNA from 1 species